rnacentral:tRNA from 1 species
GCGUCAGUUCACGUCAGCACGGCAAAUCGACCAGCUUGAGGGGCUGGCGGUCGCAAGACCGUGGGGGUUCGAGUCCCCCCUUCCGCACCA